rnacentral:rRNA from 1 species
UAGCUUGGUGUUGGGUGACUGUCCCGCCUCGCCGCGCGGACUCGCCUCAAAGUCAUUGGCAGCAGACUCGGUAGCUAAUUGCGCAGCACAUCGCGCCAGAGGCUCCGGGCCCGCUCUCCACGAGCACAGUCUCAUCAGUUUGACCUCGGAUCAGGUAGGGAUACCCGCUGAACUUAAGCAUAUCAAUAAGCGGAGGAAAAGAAACCAACAGGGAUUGCCCUAGUAACGGCGAGUGAAGCGGCAACAGCUCAAAUUUGAAAUCUGGCUCCUUCUGGGGUCCGAGUUGUAAUUUGUAGAGGGUGCUUUGGCGUCGGCCAUGGUCUAAGUUCCUUGGAACAGGGCGUCACAGAGGGUGAGAAUCCCGUACGUGGCCGCUGGCCUUCGCCAUGUAAAGCCCCUUCGACGAGUCGAGUUGUUUGGGAAUGCAGCUCUAAAUGGGAGGUAAAUUUCUUCUAAAGCUAAAUAUUGGCCAGAGACCGAUAGCGCACAAGUAGAGUGAUCGAAAGAUGAAAAGCACUUUGGAAAGAGAGUCAAAAAGCACGUGAAAUUGUUGAAAGGGAAGCGCUUGCAGCCAGACUUGCCCGUAGUUGCUCAUCCAGGCUUCGGCCCGGUGCACUCUUCUGCGGGCAGGCCAGCAUCAGUUCAGGCGGUCGGAUAAAGGUCCCGGGAAU